rnacentral:rRNA from 1 species
UACAGAGGUCUCAAGCGUUGUUCGGAUUCAUUGGGCGUAAAGGGUGCGUAGGUGGCGAGGCAAGUCAGAUGUGAAAGUCCCGGGGCUCAACCCCGGAACUGCAUUUGAAACUGCCUUGCUCGAGUACUGGAGAGGAGACUGGAAUUACGGUGUAGCAGUGAAAUGCGUAGAUAUCGUAAGGAAGACCAGUGGCGAAGGCGAGUCUCUGGACAGUUACUGACACUGAGGCAGCGAAGGCCAGGGGAGCAAACGGG